rnacentral:rRNA from 1 species
GCUAAACGCGAAGAACCUUACCAAGGCUUGACAUAUACGAGAACGGGCCAGAAAUGGUCAACUCUUUGGACACUCGUAAACAGGUGGUGCAUGGUUGUCGUCAGCUCGUGUCGUGAGAUGUUGGGUUAAGUCCCGCAACGAGCGCAACCCUCGUUCUAUGUUGCCAGCACGUAAUGGUGGGAACUCAUGGGAUACUGCCGGGGUUCAACUCGGAGGAAGGUGGGGAUGACGUCAAAUCAUCAUGCCCCGUUAUGUCUUGGGCUUCACGCAUGCUACAAUGGCCGGUACAAAGGGCUGCAAUACCGCGAGGUGGAGCGAAUCCCAAAAAGCCGGUCCCAGUUCGGAUUGAGGUCUGCAACUCGACCUCAUGAAGUCGGAGUCGCUAGUAAUCGCAGAUCAGCAACGCUGCGGUGAAUACGUUCCCGGGUC